rnacentral:rRNA from 1 species
GACAGAGGAUGCAAGCGUUAUCCGGAAUGAUUGGGCGUAAAGCGUCUGUAGGUGGCUUUUUAAGUCCGCCGUCAAAUCCCAGGGCUUCAACCCUGGACAGGCGGUGGAAACUACCAAGCUGGAGUACGGUAGGGGCAGAGGGAAUUUCCGGUGGAGCGGGUGAAAGUGCGUAGAGAUCGGAAAGAACACCAACGGCGAAAGCAACUCUGCUGGGCCGACACUGACACUGAGAGACGAAAGCUAGGGGAGCGAAUGGG